GCCGGAGUGGCGGAAUGGCAGACGCGACGGACUCAAAAUCCGUUGUCCGAAAGGGCGUGGGGGUUCGAAUCCCCCCUCCGGCACCA
rnacentral:tRNA from 1 species